CAUACCCAAAGGCAUCUUCUCUUGGUCAGUACCAGGGGACUUCUGUAGUUGGGAAAGCUACGUUUGACUGUCACUUGAUUUUAACAUUCAAAUAUUUGUAAGCCUUUCCUUUCCUCUGCCUGCAUUGUUGGGCUACUGCUGGACCUUGCGGGUUUGAGAUGGGAAUGGAAUGUGGUCUGCCCGGGAAACUGCUGUGCAGGAGCUGUUUGAGAAAAAAAUAUUUUAGAUUAAGCAUUCCCUUUCCCCAGUUUGGUGGUACCUGAGCCAUAGUCUCCCUGGUGUGACCCCACAGGGGUCGAAGUCACAGGAGUCGCCAUGAGGGAGGGGCCUUCUGGGUACGAAGAUGCCAGGCAUUUGGGAAGCAGUUGGGAAUCAGUGUGGCUGGGGGGUAAACAUGGGAGCAGAGUGAGGACACCUAACACAUAUCUGUUUGGAGUUUCAGAAGAGCUAAUAUUUGAAAGCUGACAGGGUUUUCCAGAAUUUUGGAAAGAUGCUACUUC
rnacentral:lncRNA from 1 species